rnacentral:lncRNA from 1 species
UGCUAGAGAGGAGAUCAAAGUUAUGAAGCAGUGGAGAGAGGCUGGAAACGAUGUUGAACUGAUGGAGAGUUAGAAAUUUUCUAAAGUGGCGAGCAUCUGAAGAAGGGUCAUCCAAUUGAGUAAAGGUAUGUAAUUAUAAUUUGCUUAUAGAAUAGUUGGAUUAUGUGCCGUAUGAAAUGUUUUCUUCAUUUGUUGAUGUUGUUAUUUGGUUAUAGGUUGAUUACUGCAUAUGUUGUUUAACUCAAUGAGAAAUCAAAAUAAACAACUUUUAAAGGGAUAAAAUUGGGAUAAAUAUAAGAAGAAAAUAACCAAUACUAAACAAAUAUAUCCCAGUAGCAUAAUGUUUCAAUGGUGAUCGAAAUGAACAUCAUUAUUAGUAGAUAUGAUUGGAAAGCUAGACAUUAAUACCUUAAAAAAAUUCUAGACAUUGGUGAAGAUUUCACGAUACACAACAUUUUUGGUUGAAGUGCAAACUUUUUGUUCAUCAUCCAAAAUCAACAACUUGAGUCCAUUUCUCCACCUGACUCUAGACAUCGCAACAUACAACUGACCGUGAGUGAAUACCAGUCGAGGUAGGUAAAUUCCGACAUGGGAGAGCGACUGUCCUCGACUUUUAUUAAUUGUCAUAGCA